UACAGAGGUCUCAAGCGUUGUUCGGAUUCAUUGGGCGUAAAGGGUGCGUAGGUGGCAGGGUAAGUCGGAUGUGAAAUCCCGGGGCUCAACCUCGGAACUGCAUUCGAUACUGCUUUGCUGGAGUACUGGAGAGGAGAUUGGAAUUUACGGUGUAGCAGUGAAAUGCGUAGACAUCGUAAGGAAGACCAGUGGCGAAGGCGGAUCUCUGGACAGUUACUGACACUGAGGCACGAAGGCCAGGGGAGCAAACGGG
rnacentral:rRNA from 1 species